UUAGGAUCCAGCAUUGCGGUGAGCUAUGGUGUAGGUCACAGAUGGGGCUCGGAUCCUAAGUUGCUGUGGCCAUGGUGUAGGCCAGUGGAUACAGCUUUGAUUGGACCCCUAGCCUGGGAACCUGCAUAUACCACAGGAGCAACCCUAAAAAUAAAAAAAAUAAAAUAAAAAAUGACAUUCGCAGCCACAUGGAUGGAACUCAAGAUUCUUAUACUAAGUGAAAUACAUCUGAAAAUGAAAGCCAAUACCAUAGGAUACACCUUGGAUCUGUAAUCUAAUAAAUGGUACAAAUGAACCUUUCUACAGAAAAGAAAAUCUUGACUAGAGAACAGACUGGUGGUUGCCAGAUUGGAGGGGGAGGAUGUGGGAAGACUUGGGAUUUGGGGCUAACAGAUACAAACUCUUGUACUUGGACUGGAUAAGCAAUGAGAUCCUGCUGUAUAGUGCCAUGAACUAUCUCUAGUCACUUUUUUUGGAACAAGUUGGAGAAUAAUGUGAGAAAAAGGAUAUGUAUGUAUAUGUAUGACUGGAUCAUUCUGCUGUUAAAAAGAAAGAUACAGAGCACUAUAAAUCAGCUAUAAUGGAAAUAAAAAAUGAUUUUAAAAAAAGAAACCAAAAUUGCCUGCUCAGCAUUCCCCAGAGAAGGUGUCUGGGUCUGGACUCCUGUCUCUCGAGAAAAAAAACAGGCAACCUGACACCAUGGAAUCUAUGAAGAUUUCUUAGCAAUGUGAUAUCUGACCAGAAGUAAUUACCUAGGAUGUAUGAAUUUAUUUCUAUAUUAACAUCUUCAUUUUUUAUUUGCCUAUUUAUUUUUGUGCACCCACUUUUGGCAAGCAGAUACUGUCUGUCCAGGAAUUGAAUCCAUGCCACUGCUUUUAUUAACCCAGGACCCUACUGAAAACCCUCCGUCACCAGAGCUAUAGUGUCAGGAGAUCCUUUAGUAUUGCCUUAUCUACCAAUUCCCUUAGCUACUCUGUAGGAAUGUAUACAUGUAUUUAUUGACUUAUUUAUCAACUGAGCUUAUUUUUUCAAUAUCUCUUUUUAUUUAUAAAUUGAUUCAGGAUCCACCAGUGACACUGGGAUAUUGUCAGACCAGAGUUUGAUUUCCCAACGCAGCUCUUACCACAGCCACAGCAGUGACAGAGAUAGACUCUUAAGCCGAGCAGCCACGGGGAAACUCCCUGAGAUCCUGCUUGAUACCAGUAACCCUGCUUAACUCAUCAGACCUGCUUUCGGUCAGGCCUCCCUACCCUGUCGCUGUGCUUAAAAGAGAGGUUCAUCUCCAAAGGCAAGAAGGAAAUUCACUAGGUCUUGAGCAAAAAAAAAGCACAGGGAUUAGCACAGCUGCCCAUCAUAAUGCCACCAACAUCCUGAUUUCAUUCAUUAGCACCUGCCUCUCUCUUCAAAUAAUUAAAGCGCUAACAGUAAGGGGCUUGAAAAUGGCCAGCUCAGGAUUCAACAAAAAUGCUGCAUGGGUCGUGGUUCCUGCCACUUGAGGAACACAAGGCAUUCUGAAAUCCAGUGAAUCUCUCAAGCAUUCUAAACACACUGCCACCCAACCAGGCUGCCAGUCCACAUCCAAUGCUGAAGGGAUACCUGUGUCCUCUGCCCAACAUGAGGCAUCUUGGAGCAGAGAGUCCAAGGUGCCCAUAAAACAACCCCAAACCUCUGAGUGCUUGUUGUGGGUUCUACCCGACACACCAUUAACCCCACCUCUGAGCCAGCACCCGCAGCCUUGGAGCUGCACCGGGGUCCAGAAGGUACUUCUGGCACCAUCUUGUGGAAUCUGCUCUAAUAGCAACUCUCAGGCUUUCCUCCUCUCUCUGGCUAAACAGCCCCCAGGGCUACACUGGACGUUGGCAAUAGGCUGGUUGGAUUUCCUUCCUCCAUUGUCUUAAAAUACCAACAAGUGCUCUUCCAAGUGGGCUCAUUCUCUCUGAAAGGCUUUCAUAGCCUUGAGGGCAACAUACCCAAGGCCACUCUGUUCAAACACUCAGCUCCUGACCCAUCAGGUCAUAACAGCCUUCUUCCAUUUUUAGAUAUCCCUGCACAUAUGUACUUAUGAAGAUAGGUGUGUAUAUAUGGAACUAUUGAUUUUUUUAUUAAUUAUCCAACUGUUAUUCAUUCAUUCGUACACUAAAGUCUUGACUCUUUUCUUUCUUUUUUUUCCUCUUUUUCUCUUUCCCUCUUUCUUUCUUGACCCCACCUGAAGCGUGUGCAUGAGUUGUCUGCCCAUCGAAGUUUUUCAAGCCACAGAGCUUACCAAACCCACCACAGCAACACAGACAGAUCUUAUACACAGGGAGUCAUGAGGGAUGUCCGUGAGAGAUUUUUUUAUACAAUUCUACUGAAUUCUACUGGCCUUAAUUCACCUGACCUGGCAUUAGAUCAUGUAUUAAUACCAGGUGUAUAGAGAGAACAAAAGAGGCUCACUGGAAAGAAUAAGAGUUUCAAGAGACCUCUUGAGAGAAAAAGCACAGGGUUUAGUGCAGCUGCUCACAAAAAUAUCACCUUUGAACCACCUUCCAUGGUCAACCAGCAGGCACUCUAUCCAGUUCCCAAAACCCAGGUCAGGAUGGGGUUUCAAAAUUAUCAGAUCGACAACUGACAGAACCCAACAGAAGAGAGGAAAAAAAAAAAAAGCAACAACCCAAUUGAAAAACAGGCAACAAACCUGAAUAGACAUUUACCUACACCAGAUAUACGUAGGGCAACAAGCAGCAGAAAAAAUGAUCACCAUCACUCCUUAGGAGAGAAAUGGAAAUCAAAACUUUUAUUUCCCCAGGCUGCUACUGAAAACCCUCUGUCACCAGAGUUAUAGUGACAGGUGACCCUUUAUUAGUGCCUUAUCUAUCAAAUCCCUUAUCUACUCUGUAGGAAUAUUUAUAUGUGUUUAUUGAUUUCCUUAAAUAUUGAGCAAUUCUUUCAAUAUCUUUUUAUUUAUGAAUUUAUUUGGGUGCCACCUUCAACACUGACAUGUGGUCUGGGCCAGGGUUUGAUUUCCCAACACAGCUCUUAGCACAGCCACAGCAGUGACAGAGAUAGACUCUUAAGCCUGGCAGUCAUGAGGGAACUCCCUGAGAGCUCUCUUGAUGAUACCAAUCAACCCUAUUUAAGUCAUCAUACCUGCUUUUGGUCAGGCCCCCAUAACCUAGCACCAUACUGAAAAGGAGCCUCAACUGCAAAGGCAGGAAGGAAAUUUCACUUGGUCUCUUGAGAGAAAAAAGCACAAGGAUUGGCACAGCUGCCCACCAUAAUGCCACCAAAGUCCCCCAUUCAUUCAUCAGCACCAGCCUCUCUCUCCACAUACCUAAAGCCCCGACAGUCAGGGGCUUGAAAAUGGUCAGCUCACGAUUCAACACAGGUGCUGUGUGAAUCUAGGCUCCUGCCUCUGGAGGAAUACAAGACAUUCCAAAACCCAGCAAAUCUCUCAUGAAUUCUAAGCACACUGCUACCUAACCAGGCUGCCAAUCCACAUCCAAAGCUGAAGGGAUACCUGUGUCCUCUGCCCGACAUGAGGCAUCUUGGAGCAGAGAGUCCCAGGUGAUCAGAGAACAACGCCGAACCUCUGGGUGCUUGUUGUGGGUUCUGGGAAACACACCAUCAAUCCCAUCUCUGAGCCAGCACCUCCAGCCCUGGAGCUGCACCUGUGUCCAGAAGGUCCUCUGGUGACGUCUUGUGGAAUGUGCUCUAAUAGCAACUCUCAGGUUUUCCUCCUCUCUGGCUUAGCAGCACCAGGGGGCUGCACUGUCUGAGGGCAGUAUGGUAGUUUUAUUUCCUUCCUCCAAUUUCUUAAAAUACCAAGAAGUACCCUUCCAAGGGGGCUAUUUCUCUCUCAAAGGCUUUCAGAGCCCUGAAGCCAACCUACUCCAUGCCACUCUGUUCAAACACUCAGUUCCGACCCAUCAUGUUAUGACAGCCUUCUUCCUUUUUUAGAUAACCCUGAACUUAUGUAUUUAGGAAGACAGGUGUGUAUAUAUGUAACUUUUAAUUUUUUCUUAAUUUUCCAAGUGUUAUUCCUUCAUGCAUACAAUAAAAGUAUGAUUCUUUUUUUUUUCUCUUUCUUUCCUACUUUAUUGACUGCACCUGAAGCGUGCAUGAGUUGCCUGCCCAUCGAUGGUUUUCAAGUCCAGAGGUUAACAAACCCAGCACAGAGACACAGAGAGAUCUUUUUCCCAGGGAAAAAGGAGGCAUCUCCAUGAGAGCUUUCUGUAAUCAUUCUACUGGCAUUAAUUCAUCUGAACUGGCAUUAGAUCAGGUCUUUAAACCAGGUGUAUAGAGAGAAAAAAGGAGGCUCACAUGGAAAGAAAAGAAUGGAGUUUCAGGAGACCUCUUGAAAGAAACAACACAGAUUACUGCAACUGCUCACCAAAAAUCGCCAUUGUACAACCUUCCAUGCACAACCUGCAGGCACUCUAUCUGGUUCCCAAAGCCCAGGUCAGGAUAGGAUUUCUUUCUUUCUUUCUUUCUUUUUUUUGUCCUUUUAGGGCCACAACCACGGCAUAUGGAGGUUUCCAGGCUAGGGGUCGAAUCUGAGCUAUAGCUGCUGGCUUACAUCAGAGCUGCAGCAACGCCAGAUCUGAGCUGCAUCUGCGACCUACACCACAGCUCAUGGCAACACUGGGCCCUUAGCCCACUGAGGGAGGCCAGGGAUCGAACCUGCAACCUCAUGUUCCUAGUCAGAUUCGUUUCCGCUGUGCCACGAGGGGAAUUCUGGAUGGAGUUUCAAUAUUACCAGCUUGACAACUGAUACAAACCAACAGCCAAAAAAAAAAAAAAAAUCCAACAACCCAAUUGAACAAUGGGCAAAAUACCUGAAUAGACAUUUCCCUAAACCAGAUAUACAUAGGGUAACAAGCACCGGAAGAAAUGAUCAAUACAUUAGGAGAGUAAUGCAAAUCAAAACUAUACUGAGGUACCACUUCACACCUGUCCGAAUGGCAAUCAUUAGUAAGUCUACAAAUAACAAAUCCUGGAGAGGGUAUGGUGAAGAGGGUGCCCUCCUACAGUGUGGUUGGGUAUGCAAAUUAGUACCAAAACUGCAGACAACAGGAUCAAGGUAAAUCUGAAAAAUACAUAUAGAAUGAACAUAUGACCCAGCAAUCCCACUCUUGGGCAUAUAUCUGGAUGAAUGUUCUUUUAAAAAAUACUUGCCCUGCUAUGUUUAUUGCAGCAAUAUUCACAAUAGCCAAGACAGGGAAACAAACUCAAGUCCAUUGACAGAUGAAUGAAUUAAGAUGAUGUUGUACAUAUACACAAUGGAAUACAACACAGUCAUAAAAAAUGACAUUCGCAGCCACAUAGAUGGAACCAGAAACUCUCAUGCAAAGAGAAAUAAGUCCAAAAAUGAAGGACAAUACCAUAGGAUACCCCUUGGAUGUGGAAUCUAACAAAUAUCACAAAUGUAGUAGUGUUGGGUUCAACAUCAGCUUCAGGGUCAUUGUGAGCAUGAAAGUCAGGGACAAAGUCAGGAAAGAAUUAGGCAGUGGAUUAGGAUCAAGCUCAUACUCACAGUCAGGACAGGUGGUGGGUGAGGUCAGGUCAGGACAAGGAUCAGAGCUGAGAAGAUACUAAGUGUGAGGUUUAGGGUCAUAAGGAUCUUCACAGUUAGGGUCAAGGUCAUGGUGGUAGUAAAUGGCAGAAAAUAGUGUCAAGGUUAAGUUCAGGAUGAGUUCAGGGUCAGGGUCAAGGUCAGUGUCAAAGUUAUGAGGAAGGAUCUAUUCAGUAUCAGUGUGAUUAUGAGGGUCAGGAAAAUGGUCAAGGUCUAGCUCAAAGUGAGUCUGAAAGUCAAGGUCACAGUGAGGGCUGAGGAAAAAGUUGAUUUCUGGCUCUUAUCAGGAUUGAGGUCAGAAUAAGGUUCAUUUUCAGGGUAAGGAUGAGUGUUAGGGUGAGGGCUAGAUGAUGGUAAAUUUUAUAUUCACUGUUAUGGGGAAUCAGAGUGCGUUUUAGUUUCCUAGAUCUGUGUGACAAAUUAACACAAACUAGUUAGCUUAAAGCUACAGAAAUUUAUUCUCUCACAGUUGUGGAGGUCAGAAGUCAGAAAUUGGAGGAGUUCCUGUCAUGGCUCAGUGGUUAAAGAAUCCAGCUAGGAACCAUGAGCCACAACGGGAACUGUUUCGCUUUUUUUAAAUCUCAAAUUAAAAAAAAUUUUUUUUCAAACAUCCCAAGGAAUCACAGAGUAAACCUCUAUGUACUGAUCUCCCAGCUUCAACAAUUUUCAAUAGUUGUAUACAAACUGGCAUGGGAGAGGGCAGCCAGAGCCUUUCAGGACAUGGAGUAGCAAAUGCAGAGACCCUGAGGCCCAGGGUACAAGUGACAACUGAAAGUCACGCUCAUAUGGAGAGCAUAAACAUCAUGGGGAUGCUUGUAGGGAAAAUGGAUUUUAAGUGUGUGAUGGAUCAGGGCAAGAGUGGAUUAGGCUAUGUUAGUUAGGAGGCUACCGAGUAGUCUGGGCAAAAGAAACUGGUGGCCUGAAAUACAGUAGUGGCAGUGUGUAGGUAAGAGAUUAACACAAGAGGGGUUAGUGCAAGUUUGUGUGCUCAUUGCACAGUGACCCCCAAACAAACUGAAACACUGGAGUUUGGAGCAGAGAAAUGUUUAUUGCAGGGUCAUGCUUAUGCCCCCUAAUACCCUAAAUUCCCC
rnacentral:lncRNA from 1 species